rnacentral:tRNA from 1 species
UCCUGGGUGGCUCAGUGGUUGAGCAUCUGCCUUUGGCUCAGGUCAUGCUCCCAGGGUCCUGGGAUCAAGUCCCACCUCAGGUC